rnacentral:lncRNA from 1 species
GCUGAUUCAUGAAAUUUCCACGCCGUGUGGCUUUAAGCUGUUUACGCGAGCUCAGGAGGCGACAGCGAGGGGUAUUUUUAGCUCGCUGGGUAGCAGAGCGGGAUUAAAAUGCAGUCAGUGUUACAGACGCUGGGGCUGAAUCAGUAUUCCUGCACAAACCUCUCCGUGCCAGCAUCUUCCAUUGAGUGUCUGAAAAAGCCGAGUUUCCAUGGAGACCCGGCUCCAGGGCAACCCGAUUCCUCGCUAAAAGCAGCAGGUAGGAGCGGUGCGAGGCACAGCCACGCUCCAGCUGCAGGAAGAGAGAGCUGGCACAUCCCCAUCCUCGUAUGGGAUGCAGAGAGGAGGGCACCGGGCUGCAAGGAAAACAGCUUUGCCUGGCGACGAAAAGCCAAGCCAGCAGCACAAGCACCUGCACGGCGUACACGGACCCGCUUUUGCACCAGCUGGUGGGGAGGGACCAUUGUGUUCGACCACUUUGGCUUCCUGCAUGAGGUGGGCCGUGAAGUGCCGCGUGGCUCUAAGCCUUAUUAUUAUUAGCAUUUAUUACUGCGGAGGGAACGAGCACAGAAAGCGCGGCUCCGCGGGUGGGUGGCUUUUUAAAGCAAUCACCUACGGCCAUGCAACCUGUUAUGAAAACUCUCUGCGUAACCGAGAUGGAUCUGUUACGUGCACGGGAGAUGUGGGUACCAGAAGUCAGAGCCGGGCAAACCAGAGCUGCUCAUUUGCCCUUGGCACAGGGCUGAGUGCUGUCCCUGAUCCCCCUGAUGGUGAGCAGCGAGUCACGGUGCGAGUCAGCUCGUGUCCUUGGGAGUCCUCCAGGCAGCAGCGCUCAAUGGAGCGGGGAGAUGGGAGCCCUCGUGAAUCUUCAGCUCGGAGCAAUGAAGGCACCCAGUGUACCGGGACGGCAGCGCCAGAGCUGCCAUGAGCAAUGGGCAAGACAGGACCUGGUUUAGGUCAAGCCGGGCACCCGUCUGCAGACAGGAGAGAUGAAAAUGAGCUCUCGUCUUCUGCGGAGGAGAAGUUCCCGGGGAGAGCUGGAGGAAAAGCGAGGGGAAAUUAAGCAGAAAUAGCUUCGGGGUCAUUUAAAAAUAUCCCCACGGCUCCCUUACAUAUAUAUUUAGCAAGAAUUCAUCGUCCAUGGCUGAGGGAGCUCUAGGCACCGAAUGUUCGGAACGGCCUUUGAUGAAGACCCAUGGGAUCCUGCAUGGCUUGGAAGGGAGAGAGGUCGGGGGGAUGGAGGGGGCAGGUGAGGGCUGCAGGGUAGCUCCCAGCCCCCUACCCCCCACUGUGCCCACCCACGUGUUGAUGUGCUGAGGGGGGAUGUUUAGGGGAUGCCGAGCACUGGGAUGGCUGGCAGCAGCGUGGUGCUCUUCGCAUCACCCAGCCCGUUGGUUUUUGAGGUCCCAAAGUGUUUUCCAUCUCGUGCUGCUUCAGCAGGAAAAAGCACCCCUCGCUUCUAGGAGCAUCCUGGACCAAAGGAAGGUUCAAAAGACAGGUCUGGAUCUGCCGGAGCCCAUGAAUUAUUCAUCGCUUCUCCGAGUUGCAGAGGAUCCCAUUACGAGGUGCAGAAGGGUCUCCUUGAGCUGCGCAGCCCUGCCCAGAGCUGUCAGCUCAGAAACCCAAGAGCUGGAGGGAUCUCAGCUCGCGCCUUCCUUCCCCGGGGCCAACACUGCUCCCAUAGCAAAGGCAGGCGGGCUUUGACUUUGGGGCUCUGCCUGAAGGUUGGUGGGUGUCUCCUUACAGGCCUGAUUAUUGAUCGCCUCCUGCCUGAGUUCCCACCCCAUCCAGAUUGUAACUGCUGCCCUCGAGAUGACGAAUGGAGCUGCCAGCCUCUGAUUUAUUUUAAUUGCCAUCUUCCCUUCCCGCUAGCGGUGGAGAGGCACUGCGCUGGGGUGCUUGAGCUGGAGGCUCUGAGCGCAUCUGAGUGAUAUUAUUAUUAUUAUUUUGAGGCUGUCUGGG